AUACGGAGGGUGCAAGCGUUGUCCGGAUUUAUUGGGUUUAAAGGGUGCGUAGGUGGCGUGUUAAGUCAGUGGUGAAAGCCUGCAGCUCAACUGUAGAGGUGCCAUUGAUACUGACAUGCUUGAGUAUGGACGAGGUAGGCGGAAUUUGUGGUGUAGCGGUGAAAUGCAUAGAUACCACAAAGAACACCGAUAGCGAAGGCAGCUUACUGGACCAUAACUGACACUGAGGCACGAAAGUGUGGGUAGCGAACAGGAUUAGAAACCCUUGUAGUCC
rnacentral:rRNA from 1 species